UACGGAGGGUGCAAGCGUUAUCCGGAUUUAUUGGGUUUAAAGGGUACGUAGGCGGUCUAUUAAGUCAGCGGUGAAAUCUAGCAGCUUAACUGCUAAAUUGCCAUUGAUACUGGUAGGCUUGAGUGUAGUUGAGGUGGGUGGAAUUCCACAUGUAGUAGUGAAAUGCUUAGAUAUGUGAAGGAACUCCGAUAACGAAGGUAGCUCACUAAACUAUAACUGACGCUGAGGUACGAAAGCGUGGGGAGCAAACAGG
rnacentral:rRNA from 1 species